GAGUGCUGCGCUUCCAGGAGAGGCAGGAAACCGGCGAGGGGCAUCCCGGGAGCGAGAUCGGCCUGGUGGGCUCCCCCGGUGCGGCGGGAAGGCGACCCCGGGAGGUGAAUGGCAAGAAUCUAGACGUUUUAUGGAUCCCCGUGUCAUAUCAUCAGAAACAAGUUGGUAUGAAGUGUGGAAAGAGAUACUUGACUAUGAAAUGGAAUAAGAAAUAUGAAUAAAACCAUACAAAGGAGAGGGAUAAUCCUGUAGUUCUCAGGGAUUUGGAAAGCACAACACUUAAUUACAGAAGAUGACAAACGGAAGGAAAGGAGAACGAAAUUGGAAAGAAAUACAACAUUUAGAAUCUACAAGGACUGAAGGAUUGUACAUGAUGUUAGAAGAACAUCCAUAUAGACGCAAGGUUUCCUUGACUUCAAAGAACCCACAUUGUGGAGAACCCAGAUGAAUACAUGUCAGGUGGAAAGGGCCUCAGACAGAGCAGAAGUCAUUGCGAACAUCAAGAAUCCCACAUUCCAUAUAGAUGCAUGGAAAGUGGCAAAGCUUACAGUAUGUGCACAGACCUUAAUACACAUCAGAGAAUACAUGUGGAGGAGAAGCCAUUUAAAUGCAUGCAGUGUGGAAAGAGCUUUAUAACAAAUGUGAUCUUACUGUACAUAUAAGAACACACACUGGGGAGAGGUCAUAUAAAUGCACAGAAUGUGAAAAGGGCACUGGAGCAACUGGAGGUCUUGCUAGACAUCAGGGACUGCAUCCUGGGGAUAGGCCAUGUAAAGGCAUGGAAUGUGGAAAGAGCUUUCGUGAAACUGGUGGUCUUAAAAACAUCAAAGAAUCCACACUGGGGACAGGCUGUAUAAAUGCAUGGAAUGUGGGAAGAACGUCAAAGAGAAGAAUCAUCUUGGUGUACAUGCUUGAACACACACUGGGGAGAGGCCAUACGUAUGCAUGGAGUGUGGAAAGAGCUUCUGUGUGACUGGAGGUCUUACAAAACAUCAAAGAAUCCACACCGGGGAGAGGCCAUAUCAAUGCAUGGAAUGUGGGAAGAGCUUCAACAGGAAACAUCACCUUGUUCUACAUGCAAGAAUGCACAGAGCAGACAGGCCGUAUACAUCCGUGGAAUGUAGAAAAAGCUUCAGUUUCCGGUGGAAAUCUUACUCAGCCUCAAAGAAGCCACACUGGGGAGAGGCCCUUCAAAUGCAUGGAAUGCGGAAAAAGCUUCAGUCAAGGUAUAAAUCUUACCAUCAAAGAACCCACACUGGGGAGAGGCCAUUCCAAUGCAUGGAAUGUGGAAGACCUUCCAUCAACUUGCAGGUCUUAUUUACCAUCAAAGGUUUUACUUACCAUUUCUGGGGAAAACCAUAUAAAUGCAUGGAAUGUGAUAAGAGCUUCUCUUGCCAUGGAAGCAUUACUAAGCAUCAAAGAUCCCACAUUGGGUUGUCAAGUUGAACUGCAGGAAGAUGGGCUUCAGAAGCAGGUUCUGUCCCAUUUCUCCACUGAACUACACUGAAUUCAGCAAACCACUGAUUCAGCACGGAAGCACAAGGCAGGCGUCUGGAAAUCCGACAACGUGGGAAAUGUGCAGGAUGUAGCAAAAAGCCCAACAAGUCCAAGAUUCCCUUUGCAGAGUUUGGCACCUCAGGCAAAUUUUCCACUUUUGCGCCCCGGUGUCCCUACUGUACAUUUAGAAACUUGACUUUCUCCAAGAGACUUUAUGAUUAAUCUUUAAUUAUGUGACUCUUUAUCACUAUUUCACCCCACCUUGAUCACUUCACGACUUGGACACAAACAAGCCUGGUCUCUCAAUCGGAGCCUCUUAGUUAUUCCGCAGUUUCGCAUCCAGGUUUUCCUGCACCAUUCCUCCGAAGGUUGUUCACUUCCGGUGUGUAGCGACAUUGAGAGAGACUGCAGCAUUUCUGAACGAUUCUGCUCUUCUGGAUGUCCAGAAGGCCAGCCUCCGUUUCUUCCUUUCCUAUGUGUCCCUUCCAGAUUGCUGAAGGGCUUUCCAGGCUGAAAAUAGAGGUGCUUCUCAUACUGGAAGAGGAGCGAGUUAAUGGUGAGACUGGAAUUUCCUGGACAUGCAAUUGUGUUGCCUUGGAGGUUAUGGAAGCAGAGUUGAGAUCUAUGUAGGCUGCAGGAUGAGGCCCGUUCGGGUCUCUCUGUAUUGCAUUUUCAGCCCCCCUGCAGAUUCAGCCUUCUGGAAUUCCCGGAUGCAGGGCCCACAUCUUGAGCUUGUGCUCCCGCUUCCCGCUUCCCCAAGCUUUGAUGGUUUCCCAGCUUUUCCCAUUUCCAAAGGGAACUGUGUAACUGGCAAGAAGAGGCUUCGGGUGCCUCUUGUGUUCAUUUUGAGCAUUUGGGCUCCCUCUGACCUGUUGCAUCUUGCCUGCUGCUUUCGCUUUCGUGUUCCCCUGCCACCUGGAGGUGGCUUCUCGGCGCUCAUCCGUGUCGGAAAGAGCUACGAUCAGCCUCUAAUCCUUGCUGCCUGCACCGAUCCUGGAAAAGGGCUGUGAAAGUGUGGAUCUGGUACACUGUUCAAAUCAAAGCACGGGGACAUGCAGAGCAGAGGUGACUGGCAAGACUCUAGAAGUUAUAUUGAUCCCCGUGUCAUGUCAUCAGGAAGAAGUCAGCAUGAAGUGUGAAAGGAGAUUCUUGACUAUGAAAAGGGAUAAAGAAAGAUGAUGAAAACCAUACAAAAGAGAGGCAUAAUCCUGUAAUUCUUGGGGUUUUGGAGACCUCAACACUAAAUUCAGCAGUUCACAAAAGAAAGAAAAAGAGAAGGAAAUGGGAAAGAAAUGCAACAUUCAGAAUCUACAAGAACUGAGUGAAUGGACAGAAUCUUAAGAGAGCAUCCAGGCAGACAUGAUGAAUCCUUGACGUAAAGAAUCCAUGCUGAGGAGAAACCAGAUGAAGAUGUAUGAUGUGAAAGAAGCCUCUGAGAAAAAAGUCUGAGUGAGUAUCAAGGAUCCAACCAUUGGGACCCCAGAUAAGAUCAUGGAAGUUGGACAGAGCUUCAGUGAAAGUCGCCGUCUUCCUAAAGAUGAAACCGUCCACACUGGAGAGCAGCCAUAUACAUGCAUGGGAAGUGGAAAAGGCUUCGGUAUAUGUGCAGACCUUGAAAGACAGGAGGGAACACAUGUGGAAGAGAAGCCAUUUAAAUGCAUGGAAUGUGGGAAAAGCUUUACGAAGAAAGUUAAACUUAUUAUACAUGCAAGAACCCACACUGGGAACAGGCCUUAUAAAUGCAUGGAAUGUGGGAAAAGCUUUAAACAUAAUUCUGACCUUAUAGUACAUACAAGAACUCACACUGGGGAGAGGCCAUAUAGAUGCAUGGAAUAUGGGAAGAGCUUCAGUGGCACUGGAGGUCUUACUAGACAUCAAAGAACCCACACUGGGGAGAGGCCUUUUGAAUGCAUGGAAUGUGGGAAGAGCUUCAAACAGAAAUAUCAUCUUAUUGUACAUGCAAGAACCCACACUGAGGAGAGGCCCUUUAAAUGCAUAGACUGUGGGAAGUGCUUUAAACGGAAAGCUCAUCUUAUUACGCAUGCAAGAACCCACACUGGAGCCAGGCCAUAUAAAUGCAUGGAAUGUGGGAAGAGCUUCAGUGAGAGUGGAACCCUUGCUAGACAUCAAAGGCUACAUACUGGAGAGAGGCCCUAUAAAUGCAUAGAAUGUGGGAAGAGCUUCAUUGAAACUAGAAGUCUUAGUAGACAUCAAAGAACCCACACUGGGGAGAGGCCCUAUGAAUGCAUGGAAUGUGGCAAUAGGUUCAAAGAGAAAUCUGAUCUGACUGCACAUAAACGAACGCACACUGAAGAGAAGCCAUUUCAAUGCAUGGAGUGUGGAAAGUGCUUUAAAAGGAAUGCUCAUCUUAUUACACAUGGAAGAACGCACACUGGGGAGAGGCCAUAUAAAUGCAUGGAAUGCGGAAAGAGCUUCAGUGAGAGUGGAACUCUAGCUAGACAUCAAAGGUUGCAUACUGGGGAGAGGCCCCAUAAAUGCAUAGAAUGUGGGAAGAGCUUCAUUGAGACAAGCAGUCUUGCUAGACAUCAAAGAACCCACUUCGGGGACUUGCCCUACGAAUGCAUGGAAUGUCAAAACAGGUUCGAAAAGAAGUCUGAUCUUACCAUACAUGAACAAAGACAAGCUGAGGAGAAGCCCUAUAAAUGCAUGGAAUGUGGGAAGUGCUUUAAAGGGAAUGCUCAUUUAAUGAUACGUGCAAGAACCAGCACUGGGGAGAAGCCAUAUAAAUGCAUAGAGUGUGGGAGGAGCUUUAAACGGAAGGCUCAUCUUAUUAUACAUACAAGAACCCACUCUGGUGACAGGCCAUAUAAAUGCAUGGAAUGUGGAAAAAGCUUCAGUCAGAGUGGAAGUCUCACUCAGCAUCAAAGAACCCACACGGGGGAGAGACCAUAUCAAUGCAUGGAAUGUGGGAAGAGCUUCAGUCAGAGUGGAAGUCUCACACAGCAUCAAAGAACCCACACUGGAGAGAGGCCGUAUCAAUGCAUAGAAUGUGGCAAGAGUUUCAGACAGAAAUCUUAUCUUAUUGUACAUGCAAAAACCCACAUUGAUGAAAAGCUCUAUAUAUGCAUGGAAUGUGGGAAGAGCUUUAAACGAAAACAUCAUCUUACUAUACAUGCAAGAAUGCACACUGGAGAUGGGCCAUAUAUGCAUGGAAUGUGGAAAAAGCUUCAGUUUCCCUGGAAGUCUUCUUAACCAUCAGAGAAACCACACUGGGAAAAGGCCAUUCAAAUCCAUGGAAUAUGGAAAGAGCUUCAGUCAGAGUGGAAGUCUCACUCAACAUCAAAGAACCCACAUUGAGGAGAAGCCAUAUAGGUGCAUGGAUUGUGGAAAGAACUUACGUCAGUAUCUUACCAAGCAUGGAAAAAAACACUAGUCUUUCAAAUGAAUGGAACAUGGAAAGAGCUUCAGACUUAAUCAAUGUUGUGCUAACCAUCGUGGAACCCUCAUUCAAGAAAAGCCAUUUGAAUGCAUAGAAUGUGGCAGGAGUUUCAGAGAUGGGAGAACCUAAGUCAAUACCAAAGCACUCAUAUGGAGUAAGAAUGGCUUAAAUUCAGAGAGAGCACUUCAGCAAUACUGGGCACAUAUUCUCCUCCACACGAAAGGGCUCACAAAGGAAGAAAACCUGGGAUCCUUAGAUUUUUGCAGAGUUUCAACUAUGCUGGAGCAUGUCCUGCCCUCAUUGGUGAUGCGACGAGCUCUGGGGUCAAUAGACAGAAAAAUCAUCAGGUGAAUGCAAAAUUGGCUGCUAAAUCGAAGACCCGGAGUGCUCAUCAAGGGCACCUUCUCAUCCUGCAGGAAGCGGCAAGUGGGGUGCCACAGGGUUCAGUCCUUGGUCCAGUGCUCCUCAACAUCUUCAUUAAUUAUUUGAUGAGGGAGUCCAAGGAUUGAUAAUCUGAUUUGAGGAUGAUACAAAGCUGGGCGGAAUAGCGAACACCCUGGAAGACUGAGGGAAGAUCCAAGGCAAUCUUGAUAAACUUUAAUGCCAGGCUGAAAGCAACAGAAGGAAAUUCAAUAGGGAUCCAUUCCAGGUGCUUCAGCUAGGAAAGAGAAACCAAGUGCAUCAAUACAAGAUGGGGAAUAUGUGGCACAACACAACUGAAAAAGAAAGACCUUGGGGUAAUUGUGGACAACAGGCUGAAUAUGAGCCAACAAGGUGCCCUGCUGGACCUUGGACUGCCCUUGUGGAGCCUGGUCACAAAUCUCGUUCCCUGGACGAAUCAGGUCUGGAUCCGUUGGUGUUCUCGCAAGAGCCGACCCACUGGGAAAGUCAGUCAUGCUGGGAAUGAUCAGCGGAAAAGGGAGAAGUCAUGUAUUGGCUGGAGCACCCGCUGGCCGGACACCGUAAAGGAGGACGCUGGGAUGACCGUGACGGACUUGAAGGAGGCACUGUGGGACAGAGGGGCAUGGAGAGCGAUGAUUCUUGGUGCGGGUCAAGCACGACUGAGUGGUGAUGACGGCGGCUUCCGCUGAUGCUCGUGGGCCUUUUGGGGUCCCGCCGCCACUGCUGCGUUCUGAGUUGGGGUGCCUGCAGCCCUCAGGGAGCCUCAUUCCCUUCACUGCCGGUGAGCACCUGUGAAUGUCGCUGAAUCGCACUGAAUAACAUCAUGGCAUGGAGCCCUGCCGAAAGGGCCUUGAGGCUUCUGCCCCCUCUUUGCCAUGGGGAGAUUGUGCUGAUCGCAGAAGCCUCCAUCCAUCUUUGAUGGUUAAGGGGGGCACUUCUCCUUCCGCAGUACUUGCGCCCAUUCCAUUUCGAGCAGAUUUCUGCUCAUUCUGAUGCUUCUAUCUGCCAUUGUGGGAGCAUUUGAAAAAUCCCUGCUUUUUCCUUUUCAGGGCAUUUCAGUUUUCAAAGCGGUGGGGCAUUUGGACACAUAAACUCAGUUCUUGUUCUCGUCCUGAGUCCUGGGUGGUUGUGGGUUUGAAAAUGGACAGGGGAUUAGGAUCCUGACGUCCCACCAGCUGUAUUGAAUCUGUCCCCAUUUGUAAUCUCAGUUUUCCCUGGUUGUACGUAUGCUGGCUGAUAUGACUGUGAAGAAUUUGUCUGCCUUUCGGCAGCUGGCCAACAGGUGUGCCCACCUGGACAGGUGACAGUGAUGCCCAAGGGUCUCCAAAGAGUCCUUGUACUCUGCCACUUUCCCAGACCCAGAUGCAGACUUUUCCUUCUCAGAAUAACUCUUAACAGAACAUCUAUCCAGAGGCAAUUACCUUCUGGAUCACAAAUACCUUCAUACACAGAAACAGAGCGAGUCAGAAGGGGGUCUCCCAGGCCAUCUAGUCUGACCCCCGGCUCCACUCACAACAUGCCCACCAUGGGCAUGUCAACGAUCCAACAAAAUAUUCCAAUACUCCAUUGCAUUCCCCUCCCUUCAUUUUUGUGAAAUUUAUUAAAUGUCUCUGCACGGAUCUUCCUUCAAGGAGAAAGUUUCUCUGGGUCUAUUCUACAUUUAUCUGUGACUUCUUACCAUCUCCCGUUUGUCUAUUCCUGUCAAGAAAUAGCCCAGCAUACCUCCCAGAAUUGUUGUGGUUGUAGGGCACACGAUCCCCAGAGAGGUUCGCCUGGCACCGUUGU